rnacentral:piRNA from 1 species
UAACAUCGUGUAAUAAAAAUCAAACCUGC